rnacentral:rRNA from 1 species
GAUCAUGGCUCAGGAUGAACGCUGGCGGCGUGCUUAACACAUGCAAGUCGAACGAAGCACUUGAUUUGAUUUUCUUCGGAAUUGAAGAUCUUGUGACUGAGUGGCGGACGGGUGAGUAACGCGUGGGCAACCUGCCUUGUACAGGGGGAUAACAGUUAGAAAUGACUGCUAAUACCGCAUAAGGCCACAGCACCACAUGGUGCAGGGGUAAAAACUGAGGUGGUACAAGAUGGG